GGGCUCGUAGCUCAGCUGGAUAGAGCAUCGGCCUUCUAAGCCGUGUGUCCAGAGUUCGAAUCUCUGCGGGCUCACCA
rnacentral:tRNA from 2 species